GAGGGGAAUCAUAGGAUGCUGUAUCAGGAGCAUUCACCAGAAGCAAUGCAGAUGUCUGCAUCUGAAUUUGUCACCAUAGGCAGCUUUUAUAGCCAAAGAAGAGAAAUGGGAGAUUCAUCUUAUUGCAAGUUUGAUGAAUGGUGCAGUAGAGAUGCCUGUUUCUCUACCUGGGGAGCAAAGGGAGCUACAGGUGACCGGUGAAGGCAUAGCAAUCUGCUUGCAAGAGCCAGAUGUUAGGUGAGAUGAAUCCAAGCCCUCACCACAUCCUGCCCACACAUCUCAUCCACACAUGUGGUGGGACAUCCUGCCUUGCAUCAGCUGCAUGUCAUGUUCUUGAGACCCUACCCUCUUCCCUCAGGGUGAAAUUCAGCUUGUAUGGAAGGCUGGGCCAAGAGCUACACACCAAAUACACUGUUUUGGUCGUGACAGCAUGUACAGCCCUAAUCCGUAAGGAUCCUGUUUUUCUGAUGCUCAAGUUGAAGUCUGUUAAAGGGGAGAACCUCUACUUUUCAGCAAUUUUUGCUCCAGUAUCAGAAAAGAAACACUUUAUCUCACUCUCUUUCUCUGGAAACCACUCACAGCUUCAAACCACCUCAAGAGAACAGUUUUCUGGAAGCUGCGUGUCUUUUCUGAAAGGCAUCUCACCAGAUUGCUGACAAAUCAUAUGCUGCCUGACUUUAAAUAUAACAAAAUGAAAUGACUAAGGUUCGGGAGGAGGAGGAAAUAGGCCCUUCUUUCAAAUUUUUGACACGCUGAGAUCCACUCAAUCAGGUGCACGCUUGGUGUGACCCUACAGCUUAGAUUUGCACCAGUGACAAGUUUGGCCCUCUGUUUAUCUGUUUGCCAGGUAAGGAGAACUGUCUGCUGAAGCUGUUCAGCUUCUCUCCUUGUUUUUUGCCUCGGUGAAUUAAUUUAGUGCUUGCCUGAGGUGGUGAACUGACACUCAACCGUACUUCUUUUAUCUACAAAUAACGGCAGCAACUUUCCAGCCUCUGCCCCCAAAUAAAGGUGCCUCAGCACCAAGUGGAAGAAAGCGC
rnacentral:lncRNA from 1 species